rnacentral:rRNA from 1 species
ACGGGAGGCAGCAGUGGGGAAUAUUGGGCAGUGGGCGAAAGCCUGGCCCAGCAAUGCCGCGUGAAGGAAGAAGGUCUUCGGAUUGUAAACUUCUUUUAUGAGGGACGAAGGAAUUGACGGUACCUCAUGAAUAAGCCACGGCCAACUACGUGCCAGCAGCCGCGGUAAUACGUAGGUGGCAAGCGUUAUCCGGAUUUACUGGGUGUAAAGGGCGCGUAGGCGGGGAAGCAAGUCAGAUGUGAAAUCUAUGGGCUUAACUCAUAAACUGCAUUUGAAACUGUUUCUCUUGAGUGCUGGAGAGGUAGAUGGAAUUCCUAGUGUAGCGGUGAAAUGCGUAGAUAUUAGGAAGAACACCAGUGGCGAAGGCGAUCUACUGGACAGUAACUGACGCUGAGGCGCGAAAGCGUGGGGAGCAAACAGGAUUAGAUACCCUGGUA